GAUGAAGAACGUAGCCAAAUGCGAUAACUAAUGUGAAUUGCAGAAUUCCGUGAAUCAUCGAGUCUUUGAACGCACAUUGCGCCCCCUGGUAUUCCGGGGGGCAUGCCUGUCCGAGCGUCAUUGCUGCCCAUCAAGCACGGCUUGUGUGUUGGGUCCUCGUCCCCCCCGGGGGACGUGCCCGAAAGGCAGCGGCGGCACCGCGUCCGGUCCUCGAGCGUAUGGGGCUUUGUCACCCGCUCUGCAGGCCCGGCCGGCGCUGGCCGACGCGAAAGCAACCAUUUUUUCUCCAGGUUGACCUCGGAUCAGGUAGGGAUACCCGCUGAACUUAAGCAUAUCAAUAAGCGGAGGA
rnacentral:misc_RNA from 1 species